UACGAAGGGUGCAAGCGUUGUUCGGAAUUAUUGGGCGUAAAGCGCACGUAGGCGGACUUGUAAGUCGAAUGUGAAAGCCCCGGGCUCAACCUGGGAAUGGCACUCGAUACUGCAGAUCUUGAAUGCUUGAGAGGGUGGCGGAAUUCCAGGUGUAGAAGUGAAAUUCGUAGAUAUCUGGAGGAACACCGGAGGCGAAGGCGGCUGCCUGGCAAGACAUUGACGCUGAGGUGCGAAAGCGUGGGGAUCAAACAG
rnacentral:rRNA from 1 species